GGGCGUAAAGAGCUUGUAGGCGGUUUGUCGCGUCUGCUGUGAAAGGCCGGAGCUUAACUCCGUGUAUUGCAGUGGGUACGGGCAGACUAGAGUGCAGUAGGGGAGACUGGAAUUCCUGGUGUAGCGGUGGAAUGCGCAGAUAUCAGGAGGAACACCGAUGGCGAAGGCAGGUCUCUGGGCUGUAACUGACGCUGAGAAGCGAAAGCAUGGGGAGCGAACAGGAUUAGAUACCCUGGUAGUCCAUGCCGUAAACGUUGGGCACUAGGUGUGGGGAACAUUCCACGUUUUCCGCGCCGUAGCUAACGCAUUAAGUGCCCCGCCUGGGGAGUACGGCCGCAAGGCUAAAACUCAAAGAAAUUGACGGGGGCCCGCACAAGCGGCGGAGCAUGCGGAUUAAUUCGAUGCAACGCGAAGAACCUUACCAAGGCUUGACAUAUACUGGACCGCAUCAGAGAUGGUGUUUCCCUUCGGGGCUGGUAUACAGGUGGUGCAUGGUUGUCGUCAGCUCGUGUCGUGAGAAG
rnacentral:rRNA from 1 species